rnacentral:misc_RNA from 1 species
AAGUCGUAACAAGGUUUCCGUAGGUGAACCUGCGGAAGGAUCAUUAACAAAUCGUGUGUGUGUAAGCGCGACUGCUAGUAUGCUGUUGCUCUUACAUAUAUAUUUACCCGUACUAGCCGGACGAGCUAGAUUACAGGUCUCUUUUGGUGGUUGUUUGGGUACUGCCAAGAAGAUAUAUUAACGCUUGAUUGUUUGACAGAGUAACAUGCCAUAUUCAUAUAAUAUACAACAACUUUUAACAAUGGAUCUCUUGGCUCUU